UGGGGAAUAUUGGACAAUGGGCGAAAGCCUGAUCCAGCAAUGCCGCGUGAGUGAAGAAGGCCUUAGGGUUGUAAAACUCUUUCGCCGGUGAGGAUGAUGACUGUAGCCGGUAAAGAAGCCCCGGCUAACUCCGUGCCAGCAGCCGCGGUAAUACGGAGGGGGCUAGCGUUGUUCGGAUUUACUGGGCGUAAAGCGCGCGUAGGCGGUAUAUCAAGUUAGGCGUGAAAGCCCCGGGCUCAACCCGGGAACUGCGCUUAUUACUGAUAAACUAGAGUCCGGGAGAGGGUAGCGGAAUUCCCAGUGUAGAGGUGAAAUUCGUAGAUAUUGGGAAGAACACCAGUUGCGAAGGCGGCUACCUGGACCGGUACUGACGCUGAGGUGCGAAAGCGUGGGGAGCAAACAGG
rnacentral:rRNA from 1 species